UGGGGAAUUUUGGACAAUGGGGGAAACCCUGAUCCAGCCAUCCCGCGUGUGCGAUGAAGGCCUUCUGGUUGUAAAGCACUUUUGGCAGGAAAGAAACGUCAUGGGUUAAUACCCCGUGAAACUGACGGUACCUGCAGAAUAAGCACCGGCUAACUACGUGCCAGCAGCCGCGGUAAUACGUAUGGUGCAAGCGUUAAUCGGAAUUACUGGGCGUAAAGCGUGCGCAGGCGGUUCGGAAAGAAAGAUGUGAAAUCCCAGAGCUCAACUUUGGAACUGCAUUUUUAACUACCGGGCUAGAGUGUGUCAGAGGGAGGUGGAAUUCCGCGUGUAGCAGUGAAAUGCGUAGAUAUGCGGAGGAACACCGAUGGCGAAGGCAGCCUCCUGGGAUAACACUGACGCUCAUGCACGAAAGCGUGGGGAGCAAACAGG
rnacentral:rRNA from 1 species